rnacentral:rRNA from 1 species
AUGUUCAGCGGUGAACAGGCCUUGUCUGAAGCUGGCAUUCAAAUACUCUGGACCGUACACUGUGUUGGAUUGGAGCUAAUUGGUUCAGAGGUACUCCCUCCGUCCGGAAAUACUUCCUGGAAGUGCCGUCCAUCCCGUGUUCCAUGUCCCGAAAUCACUGAGUUAGGUCUGGAGAAUCCAGACCUGAAGCAAUUCUUGAUCGGCGGCUCGUCAAGAAAGGGAAUUCCGCUAUACCGCAAGGGUUUAUCAACUGUUCUGGUAUUCCUCAAGAACAGGCAACUUGGACGAUCUCAAUAUACUGAAGCAGCACUACCGAGGGGAAAUGUAACAACUGAAGGUGGUGAGACAGCCAGAACAGAGGAAAAGACGUAG